UGUUGGAAAACGUUUUCGAAC
rnacentral:piRNA from 1 species